UACGUAGGUGGCAAGCGUUGUCCGGAUUUAUUGGGUUUAAAGGGUGCGUAGGCGGCCCUGUAAGUCAGUGCUGAAAUAUCCCGGCUUAACCGGGAGGGUGGCAUUGAUACUGCGGGGCUAGAGUACAGAUGAGGUAGGCGGAAUUGACGGUGUAGCGGUGAAAUGCUUAGAUAUCGUCAAGAACACCUAUAGCGAAGGCAGCUUACUAGGCCGUAACUGACGCUGAGGCACGAAAGCGUGGGGAUCAAACAGG
rnacentral:rRNA from 1 species